UACAGAGGGUGCGAGCGUUAAUCGGAAUUACUGGGCGUAAAGCGUGCGUAGACGGCUAUCUAAGUCGGGUGUGAAAGCCCCGGGCUCAACCUGGGAAUUGCAUUCGAGACUGAGUAGCUAGGGUACGGUAGAGGGAAGUGGAAUUUCCGGUGUAGCGGUGAAAUGCGUAGAUAUCGGAAGGAACAUCAGUGGCGAAAGCGACUUCCUGGACCAGUACCGACGUUCAGGCACGAAAGCGUGGGGAGCAAACAGG
rnacentral:rRNA from 1 species